rnacentral:rRNA from 1 species
AGUGAACGCUGGCGGUAGCCCUAACACAUGCAAGUCGAACGGCAGCACAGUAAGAGCUUGCUCUUACGGGUGGCGAGUGGCGGACGGGUGAGGAAUACAUCGGAAUCUACUUUUUCGUGGGGGAUAACGUAGGGAAACUUACGCUAAUACCGCAUACGACCUACGGGUGAAAGCAGGGGAUCUUCGGACCUUGCGCGAUUGAAUGAGCCGAUGUCGGAUUAGCUAGUUGGCGGGGUAAAGGCCCACCAAGGCGACGAUCCGUAGCUGGUCUGAGAGGAUGAUCAGCCACACUGGAACUGAGACACGGUCCAGACUCCUACGGGAGGCAGCAGUGGGGAAUAUUGGACAAUGGGCGCAAGCCUGAUCCAGCCAUACCGCGUGGGUGAAGAAGGCCUUCGGGUUGUAAAGCCCUUUUGUUGGGAAAGAAAAGCAGCAGGUUAAUACCCCGCUGUUCUGACGGUACCCAAAGAAUAAGCACCGGCUAACUUCG